rnacentral:rRNA from 1 species
CCUACGGGAGGCAGCAGUGAGGAAUUUUGGUCAAUGGACGAGAGUCUGAACCAGCCAAGUAGCGUGAAGGAUGACUGCCCUAUGGGUUGUAAACUUCGUUUAUAUGGGAAUAAAAUGUUCCACGUGUGGGAUUUUGUAUGUACCAUAUGAAUAAGGAUCGGCUAACUCCGUGCCAGCAGCCGCGGUAAUACGGAGGAUCCGAGCGUUAUCCGGAUUUAUUGGGUUUAAAGGGAGCGUAGGUGGAUUGGUAAGUCAGUUGUGAAAGUUUGCGGCUCAACCGGAAAAGUGCAGUUGAAACUGGCAGUCUUGAGUACAGUAGAGGUGGGCGGAAUUCGUGGUGUAGCGGUGAAAUGCUUAGAUAUCACGAAGAACUCCGAUGGCGAAGGCAGUUCACUGGACUGCAACUGACACUGAGGCGCGAAAGUGUGGGUAUCAAACAGGAUUAGAUACCCGAGUAGUC